rnacentral:rRNA from 1 species
CGAACGAUGAACCACUUCGGUGGGGAUUAGUGGCGAACGGGUGAGUAACACGUGGGCAAUCUGCCCCUCACUUCGGGACAAGCCCUGGAAACGGGGUCUAAUACCGGAUGAUACCUCCACUCGCAUGGGUGGGGGUUGAAAGCUCCGGCGGUGAGGGAUGAGCCCGCGGCCUAUCAGCUAGUUGGUGAGGUAACGGCUCACCAAGGCGACGACGGGUAGCCGGCCUGAGAGGGCGACCGGCCACACUGGGACUGAGACACGGCCCAGACUCCUACGGGAGGCAGCAGUGGGGAAUAUUGCACAAUGGGCGCAAGCCUGAUGCAGCGACGCCGCGUGAGGGAUGACGGCCUUCGGGUUGUAAACCUCUUUCAGCAGGGAAGAAGCGCAAGUGACGGUACCUGCAGAAGAAGCGCCGGCUAACUACGUGCCAGCAGCCGCGGUAAUACGUAGGGCGCGAGCGUUGUCCGGAAUUAUUGGGCGUAAAGAGCUCGUAGGCGGCCUGUCGCGUCAAUUGUGAAAGCCCGGGGCUUAACCCCGGGUCUGCAGUCGAUACGGGCAGGCUAGAGUGUGGUAGGGGAGAUCGGAAUUCCUGGUGUAGCGGUGAAAUGCGCAGAUAUCAGGAGGAACACCGGUGGCGAAAGGCGGAUCUCUGGGCCAUUUACUGACGCUGAGGAGCGAAAGCGUGGGGAGCGAACAGGAUU